GUGAAGGUGGCUCAAUGGUAGAGUGCUUGUCUUGCAUGCUAGAGGCCCUGGGUUCGAUUCCUCAGCACA
rnacentral:tRNA from 1 species